rnacentral:lncRNA from 1 species
CAAAGGAUCACUUACACAACUCCCAUUAGAGAACUAUCAACUGACAUAUAAAUAAGACUCCAUCAGAUAUUUUCUCGUAGGUCUAUUCAAUGAACUCAUUUUCUAAUGAGCAUCCAUACCCUUGUAUUAGUGUCACCACACAAGUGGUUGUAAGAUUAACCAUCCUUAUCACUGAGCAUACAUAAGACAUACCAGUCUUACCGAUUUCAUUGAUCUCUGACUCAAUGAAUCAAUGACUGAAAAUAUUUUAGGUCAUGGCUAUCAAGGAUUUA